rnacentral:sRNA from 1 species
UUUUUGAAAAUUACUGAAAUUAGCAAUUAAUAAAUCCAUUGCCAUUUUUCAGGCACAAAUUUGUUAAAAAGGAGAAUGCCUAUAUUUAUUAACAUGUAUGCUAUUUGAGUUUUGAAUAAUAAUCGCAAGGCAAAUGUUAUAAAAGAUCAUGCAAGGUUACGACUUGGUGCCAAAUAUCAAGGGUAUUGUUGCCUCUAUGGUAAGGGUACUUUGUAAUGUCAGUAAGGGUUGUAGAAGAUUAAUGUGUAUAUCUGUCACUUUUUUCUACCUUCUUUUCAUCCAAUUUAAUCCUGCUUUUGUGCUUCAAUGUCUGCAAGCCAUUUUUCCUCUUUUGAAUUUCAUUGUAGUUUUGGUGAAUUUUUUACAUGUUACUACAAGUUCAUGGAUUUAAUCUUAAUUGUUAAAGCUCUUUUAUUCUGAUUUUUAAAAAUAAAACAUAAAUGUUAUAUUAGAAAGAAAGGUAAGACUUAAAAUUCAUUCCACUAUGAAUUUGCACGUUUAGUUUGCGUGCAGAAAAUUGUGCCAUUAGCAAUCAAAUCACAUUUUAAAAAUUGUUGAAUUUGAGAUGUAAUUGUUUGAUGUAUAUACAUGAUUAAAACAGCAUUGUUACACAUAUGCUUAAUGUUCUUGCUAAUCUUGUUGCGGGAUUUUUUUCAUAAAAUACAUAUUGUUUUUAAUUCUAUUAUUGUUGAUAAAUGUUUACAAGUUUUUGUGGCAAUAUUUAGUACACGAUAGUAAACCAUUUUCCACUAAGACCCGGUUUUUAAUUGCUGUACAUUUCAUUCACUCAGUGUAGCCAUAAUUUUGUGAUAAAUUUAAUUUGGUCCCAAAUCAAUAAAAAAAAUUAAAUUC